CCUACGGGUGGCAGCAGUGAGGAAUAUUGGUCAAUGGACGAAAGCCUGAACCAGCCAUGCCGCGUGCAGGAGUACUGCCCUAUGAGUUGUAAACCUCUUUUGUCCGAGGGCAAAAGCCGAACCUUUCAUGCGGUGGGAGUACUCGAAGAAAAACAAUCCGCUAACUCCCUGCCCGCAGCCGCGGUAAUACGGAGGAUCCGUGCGUUUGCCGGAUUUAUUGGGUUUAAAGGGUGCGUAGGCGGCUUUAUAAGUCAGAGGUGAAAGUGUGGGGCUCAACCACGGAACCGCCUUUGAUACUGGUGGACUAGAGAAUGGUUGCGGCAGGCGGAAUGCGUGGUGUAGCGGUGAAAUGCUUAGAUAUCAGGCAGAACACCGAUUGCGAAGGCAGCCUGCCAAGCUAUGACUGACGCUGAGGCACGAAAGCGUGGGGAGCAAACAGGAUUAGAUACCCUAGUAGUC
rnacentral:rRNA from 1 species